rnacentral:misc_RNA from 1 species
AAUCGUGACAUACAACCCCGGGUCCUGGAAGAGCUAUUUAAGCUGCAGCCUAAUCAAACCUCGGGUAUUAUCGAAACUCCGCUGGGCUUGGAGAUCGUAAAAGUGUACGAAAACAACGGCGGCAAGCUUAAGGCAGCGCAUAUAGUGUUCGGAUUUAACCAGCUUAGCCAGUACCUUGAACCGAUCAAAAAAGAAAAUUCGCCCUCUCGCUUUGUUAGCAUGUAGGCGAAGAUGAUUGCUUUUUUCAAAACAGUUUGCUAAAAUUACCCCUGUUGAUCUUC